GAAGGGUCCCGGCCGCCGAAUCACCACGAGGGGUCGUUCCGGGGAGGAGCUGCGUGCGGCAACUGGAAGAGCGGCGGCACACGCAGUGCGGGGGAGGCGGAGAUGACCACAGCCGGUGCGCGGGGUAGAUUUGGCCGGCCUCUUCCAGUUUUCCGUCCGCUCAGAUGCGACCGUGAUGUGCUUCUUCAUCACCGCCAUCAUCCUCUGCUGAGCCGAGCCGUCAGAAGUAGAGAGUCAAGCGGCUGGAGAGAGCGUUGCUGGAGAGGCAGACACAUCAAAUCUGAUGCUGCCCGCAGCUUUGUCUAUGCUGUUAUGAAGGUUAACCCCGUUGUGCUUGAUUCUUGAAUCCUUCUUGAUCUUGAUGUUGUUAUCAAUAUGCAUCUAUUGAGUUGAACAUGAGUACCGGGUCACUUCAACGGGACAUGAUCAAAAUUGUGUUGUGUUUUCUUCUUCUUUCUGAAAUAGACCAGCCUUGUGGCUGAAGAAAAUCUGUAGAAGAAACUCCCCUCUGUUAAUUAGAGAUAAUCUAAUGUUCUAAAAGGCGAUUUUUUCUGUUCCCUCAACCUUCUAGCUAAGUUUAAGUAGAUUCUACAACGGACAUAGGCAGAACAAACUGCAUCUUUAAUGUUUUCUUGAUUUUUGGACAUAGGUAGAGGUAGGAGGAUAUCGCCAUAUUGAUUGUGCUCCAGCAUGCCAAAAUCAGAGAGAGCUAUUAGUAAUCACUUGCACCAUAGCUUUACAAAGAACAAAAGGCAUUGAGAAAAACUCUCUAGAGUUGUAAUAUUGUCCGAUUUGAUUUGAAAAUAUACCAUAACGUGUACAGACUAAACUGAGAUCCAUACCUUUGCCUAGAUCAGCUUGGCCCUGAAGAAGUUAUUUGAGGAUGGCGUGGUUAAGCAUGAAGAUCUGUUCAUCACCUUUAAGCUAUGGUCAGGCUUGAUUUGUCAUAUUCAGUUUCAUGUAACGCACAAGAUAGAUAUGCUUCCCUCUUCUCACAAAUAUUCUGAAUUUUGCAGGUUCUGUGCACCUAAAGAUGUGCCAGAGGCAAUUGUCGCCACCCUUAAAGAGCUUUUACAGCACCUUCUGUGUGAUCUUGUCCGACCACCUCCUCCUGUACUAUCUCCUCAAUCGUGGUGAUACUAUAUUUUGCUUGCUUUUCUUUUGGUGAUACCAUUCAUCUUCUUGCAGCUUCUCUAAUGGAUUAAAUUGUUCUUUCAGACUUAUAGUAGGAAUAUUUUGAUAGUUGUGAAUCGAUUUCAAAGACUUCCCCUCCUCAAUAACAAGCACAUGAUGGGAAUUUACAAAGGAGCAGAAUUUGGUGAGCUGGUCGUGUGUAUAGCUGUGUUUGUCUCCCCAUCCAAGAUUUGUUUGAAAUACUUUGCAUAGUCAUCAUAAGACAACACCCUAUCACUACUAGGGAAAACCCUAGCAGUAGCGCUGGUUUUGUGCUCACUAGUAGCGCUGGUAGGCGCGCUACUAAUAAGGCGCUACAGCUAUUGCUUAGCAGUAAUGCGUGCCCGCACGCGCUACUACUAGGACAAAUAGCUGAAGCGUUUGUUCACUCACACGCUACUGCUAAUGUAACUACUGGCAGCGUGUUUUCUUUCCAUCGCUACUAGUAUUCUUUUUUUAGUGUAUUUAUGCGCCAUCGUACAAAUAUUGGUACAAUACUAGUUAUGAGGUUUACAUCAUUAUGUCC
rnacentral:lncRNA from 1 species